rnacentral:rRNA from 1 species
UACAGAGGGUGCGAGCGUUAAUCGGAAUUACUGGGCGUAAAGCGCGCGUAGGCGCUUUUCAAGCCGAUUGUGAAAUCCCCGGGCUUAACCUGGGAACUGCAGUCGGGACUGUCUAGCUAGAGUAUGGGAGAGGGAAGUGGAAUUUCAGGUGUAGCGGUGAAAUGCGUAGAUAUCUGAAGGAACAUCAGUGGCGAAAGCGACUUCCUGGACCAAUACUGACGCUCAUGUGCGAAAGCGUGGGGAGCAACAGGG